rnacentral:tRNA from 1 species
GCUCAUGUAGCUCAGUGGGGAGAGCGCCUGGUUGAAGCCCAGGAGGCCGCUGGCUCGGUACCAGCCGUGAGCA